UAGCCCUGCCUCUCUCUUCAUCGUAUUCGUCUGUGCCUCUCUCUUUACCCCUCUCUCCAAGGUUCCGUUUGCUCGAGAUCCUGUCAUCUCACUGGUGCUUCGAGCUGCAUCUGCUUCAGGUUCUGAUAGAUCUCAUGAUGAUCUAUCGAUCGAGUAUGGGUUUGGGCGGUUUGGCUGAAGCUGAAAGCUCAGCUCCAUGUGCUUCUUCGCCUGAAUCUGAGAUGGAGCGAGCUCCUCCGAUCGACUCAGCUCAUCGGCGUCGUUCCGGCGUGGGUAUGGAGCUGACUACCCUCCCUGUGGUCUAGAAGCUGAGAUCGUCAAGUUCAUGUGUGGACUCUCUCUUCUGAGGCGGUGUGCUGGAUGUCGGCAAGAUGGAGGUAGCACAGCAUAUCAGUUGUUGACCCUGGUUGUUCAUCAUUUGGGUCACCUUCCUUGAGGGCCGCAAUGAAGAUUCUUUGUAUUCGUUGGACCUGGUAUAAGUUUUGCUGAUACUCCGUGUAAGUAUUGCUAUCUUCUUGUAUCGAGGCUGAAGAAUCAGGUAGCGUGUGAUGGUGAGUUAAUGGUGAGCCGAGAAGAAAAGAGUGUACUGAACGACCUUUGCCAUGACAGGUGCGCUUGCAUGGCAGGCCAAAAGAAACAUAAUAAAGGGUUUUCUUUUUGGUUUGCGGGGGGGAGAUGGUACGGGAAUUUUUUUUUUUUAGCCCGGCUCUCCCCCCUUGUGUGGCGUCGUGUUCCCUUUCCCUUGUCCCCCUUUCGUUCUCUCUCUCUCUCUCUCGCUCCCCCAAUUUCAUAUUCGACUCUCGGCCCAAAUCUGAAUCCAUCUGUUACGAACAAAUGCGGAUGGCCAGAAAGUUACACUAUUCUUUCCCUUGGAAAGACAAUAUCACCACAACUAAACGCUGGAUAUGGAACUCGAUGUUGCUCGGCUGAAAGGUACAACUUCACUCCCUCAAGACCAAAUUUUUUUCGAGGUAGAAUCUCUAUAAUAAAAUAUUAUUUCAUCCUUAGCUCGGGUAAACUUUCUAGCUCUGAUGUUCACGUCUGAUUCAUCUCGCGUGUUCUUAUGGGAGUCUGAAAAUAUCAACUAUAAAGAUUCAAGUUUAUUAUUAUAGUCGAGUCUAAACAUAAAUUCCCCAAAUGGAUAUGUCGGGUGUUCACGUUUUAAACUGUCAGCUAUCUGAUUAUGUUAAACUUUAUCUAUGCAACUUCUACCUCCGGUAUAAUUAAAAAUACUAUCAGGACUUAAUCACGAUCCCUAAUUAUUUUAGUACUUUGCAUUACAUUAUCAAUACUUAAUGACAUGCAUACAUAACAUGUAAGCGAUGCGUUGAUAUGUCAAAGUCCAUGCCCGGUCCCUUCUAUUUCUUGUCUUAUGAAGUGCUCAUGAUAUUCUUUUCACUUUGGGAACCUCUACCGCUCUAUAUUGCAUUUGGUAUAUAAUGGAAUUGAUCAUUAAUUUUGGAGGGCAUGCUUGGCCAUUUUGUCAUGAGAGGUUGUAAUUAAUUGGAACAGUGAGUAGCAUGGUUUCUGAUGAAGUUUCCUGCACUAUUAGGAGUUGUAAUAUAUUUGUCGGUGUAAAGCCCUUUUUUAGCCCAUUGGUCUAGCAAGAGGUGAUCCAUCCGGUUCCUGGAAUUUAGUCCAGCCUGUUUAGGUACAAGAAUGUCUAUAUAGGUGUGAAAUCAUCUGCUCUGAAGUCUGGAGAAGACGCUGAUUGGCUUUGGGCUGCUUGUGUGGAACUCAUGUUGGCCUCAUUCUAUCCAAAGGUCAUGGCUUAAGGAAUUCUGUCGGCCAUCCAUUAUCUUUAUAGGUGUGCAGUCAUCUGCUCUGAAGCCUGAAGAAACUGCAUAGGACUUGCCCCGGUAUCAAGAUAUUGAUCCAUACAAUCUGCGGCUUCACCUGCAUGUCUACAUGUCCGUGGGAUCUUUCUUGACGGUCAGUGAUAAGAUGGUCGACUGCUAACUAGUUCCCUAGAUUGUUUUUGGGCGCUUGGCAUAGUUUGAAACAGAGUACCACCCCUUUGUGAUGGCUUGCUAGCUGGCAUGAAUCCAUCUCAUGGCUGUGUUGCCAAUUAUUGUCGCGACUGUAAGAUGUCGGCUAGACUAGUUCGCGGGGUAUAUCUUGUCAUUGUACGCCCUCACAGAGGCUGCUCUGUAAGACUUGUCCCCUAUACAAACAGCGCACAUUCAGUAUCACAACUGAAUCCUGCCUGCACCUGCACAUUUUUGCUUACAGUUUGUUGGAGUUUAUGUUGGUUAAUGAGAAGCCUAUAUUCUUCUUAGCACGUUAUGCAAAAUAUUUCUCACUGGAGUUUAUGUUGGUUAAUGAGAAGCGUAUAUUCUUCCAAGUACCUUAUGCCAAAUACUUUUCACUGGAUUUACAAAGCGGAGUCUCUUACUUGAAGCUUUUGUAAUGCCUCUACAACUAUAUUUUCCAAGGAUUUGGGUUUCAGAAAUUUUCUUAAAAUCAAUGGCAAAUUUGGUUUGAUAUGGCGGAAGGUGGCUUUCAAUAAUGGUUUUUUUUUUUCCCCUCGGUGUUCAUCGUGUUAGGAAGGAGCAUCCAUUGUCUUCUAUUGUGUCUAUUGCAAAUUAGCAGGAUGGCUGGGUUUUGGCUGUGAGGGAAUCAAUGGUCCCUUUUAAGAGAUCAGUGCACUACAUGCUGUGCCAUCAGGUCGGUCAUUUAAUGAAGCGUGCUGAGGACCAGGUCGAGUUCCCUGUCCUGGCGGUAUCAAAUGCCAUGCUCAGGACCAGGUUGAGUAUGCUGUCCUGACGGUACCAAAUGCCACGUUUAUUCCUGUUCCUAGCAUAAAUAUUGAUCCUGACAAUGUCGCUUGAGCUGUUUCUUAGGGAUGGAUCCAUAAGCUCGAAAAUCGGAAGAGCGCCCUGACCAGUCCCCUACUACUGGUUUUGGGAGGUUGGUGGUUCGAAUCCACCUGGAUCCCUUGUUUACUCCUCCAUGUUUUCUACCUUUGCUUGGUUUUUGUCAGUUUGGGCCUGAAGAGAUAUUGUUGUACUUUAACCCUUAAACCUCAUGCUUGUUAAAGGCGCAGAUAGGGAUCUUGUUUCAGGUUCUAUUUCCUGGCUGAUCGAGAAAUUGAGGCAAGGAAAAUUAAGAUAGGCUCUUCCUGCCUACGAGUGAUCGAGAAAUUGAGGUACAUCAUAGGUAGUGAAAAUUCUGAUAUGUCCCGUAUAUCUCGCAAUUUGUCACUUUAUCAUAUAAUAUCGGUCAUGAGAUGAAUUCUAUUAUACAUUAACAGGAGAUUUCAUGAGAAAAUCAUGUUGCGUUUUGUGGGACUGAAGAAUCUUAAAUAUAUUACGAAUGGCCGUGUAGUCCACUAUACUGAGCUAAUAUUGCUGCUCCCAGGGGCAAACGUACCCAUCCCAGGAUUGUCAAGGCCUUUGGUGGCUUACAAGCUGAGCUGAGAGGUGCUCGAGCCUCUUCGAGGCGCGUGAUUCAUGAGGUCUCGAGUCCAGAUCUCGGCCUAGACGCCAAAUUUGGCCAUGGCUUAAGAAGGUGCAGAAGAUAAGAAAAAAAAAUGAUAGAUUUAUCUUACAUAUUCCUAGUUCAUUUGUGGUACAAGAAAUCAUCUAACACAGAUCGGCGGACUCUUCUCAAGAGAGCCUAAGCUCGGGCAAUUCGAAUCCACGGCAUGGAGAUCUAUUCUGGAGGGGUUUCGGCCAUUGCCAAUAGGUAUCGACUUAGGUAAGAAUAAACUAGUCUUUUUUAUCCUCGCAUUGCAUCGGUACUUUACAUUUACAUACUUUAAAUCGACUUUUUCAAAAAAUAUAUGUCAAAAUAUACAAUAUAACGAUGAUCUAUUAUUUUUAGUUGAUGUUUUAAUAUUUAUAUGUACAAAUUUAUAACUAAGAAUCGAUAGAGAGCAUAAAUUAUGAAAGACCGUGAAUAUCAAGACUGGAUGAAAUUCUUCACACACAUACACAUCGAUUAUAAUAUAUAAAAAUCGAGAACUCUCAAGUAGUGUUUAAUUGCUUUUUGGACUACUCGAAAAUUUUAAUUUCUAAUUAAGGCUUGACACACACAUAUUAAUCAAUUAUAAUAUAUGGAAGUUGAGCAGUGCAUAUGAGGCUGUUUUUUGAAAACUCUCAAUUCGGGGUUAAUCGUCUUUUUGACUGCUAAAAAAUUUUAAUUUCUAACUAAGAGAUUCCUGUAUAUAACUUUUCAACUUUGAUUAAAUGAAUAUGUUAUUUUUUUAAUCAUAUUCAACAGUUGUUAGAUAUAUGUCUGCAUUAUUUAUAGUGCUGAUAUAUUAUUAUAAGUUUUUUAAAGUUUUCUUGAUAAUUUACUAUGACUCAUCGAAAUACUAAAUAUUUUUUGUCAUAGUAAAUAUCCUUUGAAUAGUGGGCAUGAAAAUUCAUUUAUACAUCUGUUUGUUUUAGUUUUUUCACACCUCUAUUCUUGCACGAUAUUUCCCUAAGAUUGAUUUACUAUAUAUAUAUAUAUAUGUAUGAUUUUGAAUUUUUAUUAGAUUAAAAUAAACGAUUAUUUAUCAUCAUCCGCCAAUCUGUUGUGAUAAAUCUACUCCAUACCUAUGAUUUUUUGUGUAUUUAUUUGCAUUUUUUUUUUGUGUAUUUAUUUGCAUCAUAUAUGUUGACUAUCUUCAUCAUUUAAUUAAAAAAAAUGUUACCUUACAAGAUUAAAGGGAUAGUUGGCAUGGUAAUACGUGGAAAAGAAAUGGAAGAAAAGUAUAAAGAUAAAAGGGAUAGUUGUCAUGGUAAUACGUGGAAAAGAAAUGGCUAAAAAUGGAGCAAAUUAAUUCCAUGCUUAUUGUUUGCAACAAAUCAGUCGUUGGAAAUACUAAAAGUGUUCCUAGUUAGAAAAAAAAGGAUGAGAUAAAAAUGAGAAAAUUUACGUUCUGUUAGUACAGGGAGUUCAAAGAGACGUUGUAAGGGUUCAUUGAAAAGGCAUAGAUGGAAGCUCUCGUAAAAUAAGAGAGGCACUCUGUGUGAUAAUAGUGUAAAUUACUUUAUAUAUAUAUAUAUAUAAACUUGAUUACAAAACAAUAAAACAAUAAAUAGGGUCAUAAAAGCAAAUAUAGUAAAUCACAGUUGAUUUUAAAAUAAAAACUCUCAAAAUUGAUUAAAAAAAUUUAAUUUCCAUAAGUUACAUACUUAUAGAAAAACUUUUUACACAAUUAGUAACUAAAGAAAAAAUUUACUGAUUUACAAUAAGCAUGUUAAAAAAUUAUCCACUUUGAAAUAGUAAAAGUAAACCUAUUUAAAAAUUUUUAAGAUUAUGAAUUCGCAAAAAGAAUUUUUGGCAAUAGAUUAUUUGCAUUUUUUUUGUUGCAAAAUGCAUGAAAAUUAUUUAUUAUAAUUUUUUAAAGUUCAAGAAAAUGCAAUAUGUUUUCUAAGUAUUAUCAUUUUGCUCAUCCAUAUUUGGUAUUAUAAUUCACUUUGAAUUAUCCUCAAUUUGUCAUUAUAUGCUUGUUUCAAUUUAAGAAUAUAUGAUGUCAAAUUUUUAAAAGUUCCCCUUAAAAUAACCUUACUCGCAAAAAAUUACGGGUAACUAGUAUAUGCAUCUUAACCUUGUAUGUGGGUCACGGGGUCCAAGCCCGUUUGAUCAGGUCCAUUGGGAUCAGCCCUGAGUAAUGCGGCAGGCCCAUGGAGAACCCUUCCAUGGGGCUUUGAACUUUCUCUUACUUCGCGUGACGGUAACGCCAACUAAUAUAUGAAAAUAAUAUGAAAUUUUAUUUAUGGCCACAAAAAUAUCUUUUCCACGAUUCCUCCGCUUAUAAGCCGUCGAUCUAUCUCGACACGCAAAUCUGACCGUCCAUUUCAAAAACCCUAGGCUCUCUCACCGCCUCAGACGCAUAUAUAUUCCCAACCUCUGCCUCUCCUUUCUCUCCGUCUGACUCUCUCUCUCUCUCUCUCUCUCUCUCUCUCUCUCUGAGAGGCUCCCUUUCUGUGAGAUCCUGUUAUCUCGAUGAUGCUUCCAGCUGCAUCUGCUCCAUAUUCUGAUAGAUAUCGUGACGAUCUAUCGAUCGAAUAUGGAUUUGGGCGGUCUGGCUGAAGCUGAAUGUUCAGCCCCAUAAGCUUGUUCGCCUGAAUGAGAUCGAACGAACUCCUCCGAUCGACUCUGCUCCUUCGGCUUCGUCCGGAGUGGGGUCCCCCGGUUGCAGCUGACUACCCUCCAUGUGGCCUAGAAGCUGAGAUCGUUCGGGUGAUGUGUUGACUAUCUCCUCUUGACUGCUUCCGAGACGGUACGCUGGAGGUCGACGAGACUCCUCGAUUUCUCGCGGUCUGUUCUUGCAGAUGGAGAUGUUACAGCUGAUCGCGCGUUGACUCUCUCAUCUUUUGCCGGAGGUCGUUCAUCAAUGGAAUCACCUUCUGGGAAGGCCUCGAAGAAGCGUUUUUAUAGUCAGCGGCCUUGUUAUAAGUUUCGCUGAUACGCUGUGUAAGUAUUGCCUUCUUCAUGUAACGAGGCAGACGAACCAGGUACCGUGUGAUGGUAAGCUGCGAGAUGAAAGAAAAGAGUGUAUUGCACGGCCUUUGCCAUGACAGGUGCGCUUGCAUGGCAGGCCAACAAAAAACAUAAUAAAGGUUCGUUUUUUGCUUGUGGGGGGAGAUGGUACGGGGACUUUUUUUUUUUUGAGGCCCAGCUCUCCCCCCUUGUGUGGCGUUGCCUUCUUUCUCUCUCUCUCUCUCUCUCGCUCUCUCUCGCACUACCGUCUGUACCUUCCUUGUUCUACUCUGAUACUGCCCAAGCGGGUUGAUAGCCGAAAUCUGAAACGGUUCGGUUCUGAUCAAUGCGGAUGGCCGGAGAGUUGCUCCAAUACGGAACUCGAUGUUGUUUGACUUAAAAGGUACAACUUCCCUCCCUCGAAUUUAAAUUUUUCUCAAGGUAAAAGCCUCUAUCAUUGAAAAAUCAUAUAUCUGUAGCUCGUGGAACUUACUAAAUUAGACGUUCACGGUCGCUUGAUUUGAAAUAAAAUAUGCCAUUCAUCUGCAUAGCUUUCAUCUCCUGAGUUUAAUUGAGAAAAUCCAACACUUGCCUAUCCCUGCACGGUGAAGAUGCGAGUCUAUUCCUUGUUAGUUGUAUGUAAAUCUACAUACCUCAGAUGGAUAGAGCAGAUAUUCUUGUUUUGAAUCUACGUAGUAUCCUUUUAUAAAAGUUGUAUCGAUGCAAUACCUGCCUGCCAUGUCAUUAUACAAACAUUCAAGACUUAAUCACGAUCCCUGAUUACUCGAGUACUUUCAUUCCGUUAUUGUCGGCAUCGGUUUUCAUUUGACCUGUAUCCCUAGUAUGAUCCCUUAUAUUCUUUUAUAUACAUACAUAUACAUACAUAUAUAUAUAUAUAUAUAUAUAUAUAUGCUUGUUAUACUGUUCACUUUUGGGAAACUUUUCUUUCCCAUAUUGCAUUAGACAUAUGAUGGAAUUAUGUGAUUUAGUUGUUGGGGGCAUGGAUUGGCUAUUUUGUUACUGGAUAUUGUAAUUAAUUGCAGCAGUUAAACUUGCGCUCGCGGUUUAUUGGGCUUCCUUGACUGGAAGCGGUUGUAAUAUCUGUCUCAGUGUGGUAGGCCUUGUUUACCCUAUUGGUGUAGCAUGAUGUUAUCCCCCAACAUUAUGGAAUUUAGUCGAGCCUGUUUAGGGGCAGGAAUAUGUCUACUGGUGAGCAAGUCAUUUGCUCUGAAGAAGAGAUUGCACUGCGUUCUUUGGGCUGCUUGUGCGGAGCUCAUCUUUGCUACCUUUGCGGAGCCCAUCUUUGCUACCUUCCAUCCUAAGUUGAGUGUCAGGUCAUAGCUGAUAGCUCAUGGAUUUUCUGUUGGCUAUUCGUCCAUGCGGAUCAAGAAUAUGCAGUUCUUGCCUCAGUAUCGAGAUAUUGGUCCGUGUGUUUCCAUCUGUACCUCUACUCGUUUGUGGGAUCUUUAUUGAUGAGUGGUGAUAAUCAAAUCAACUGCUAAUUAAAGUUCGGCAGAUUGUUUUUGGGCACUCGAUGUUCUUGAAUCAAGUUGCGAUCUGCAAUGCUCUGUUUGGUGAUGACUUGCUUGCUGGCAAUGAGCCACCUAAUAGCAGUAUUGCAAAUGGGUGUGAGAUGUCUCUCACGAUUGCCCAGCCUGUUUGGCUCCGUGGUAUAUUUUUCUAGUUGGUGAUGUACAUGAGACUGCGACUACAUUAGCUGCGCAGAUGACUUGUCAUUGUAUGCACUCCAAAGGAUGUCUGAUCUGUAAAGACUCAUCACCUAUACAGUCACUGCGCAUUCGGUAUAAUAACUCGGUAUAAUAUCUGGACUGGGCGCUGUGCGUACUCUUUUUCCGUAUAGUUUUGGUUGGUUAAUGAGAAGCUGUAUUCUUCGAAUCCCUUUUGCAGAAUAUUUUCACAGUUUUUGCAAAACAUGAUCGUUUACAAAGGUAUUUUUAAAGGAUUGGUUUUCAAAAUUUUCUGAAAAUUGGUGGGAACAUGUAGUUGAUAUGGUGACUUCGGUGGUACACAUUAAACGGUUCUAUCAAAGUGGCUAUGUGACUCACAUUCUUCAUAUCUACACCGUCAAAAAGGUCAGGUCAGAAAGUCAUCUCCUCCGCUCUAUACAGUUUUUUUUUUUUAUUAAGUACAUAGUUCAUAUUUUUUUUCUUAAAAAAAAUUAAUUCGAAGGAGAGAGUGGUUGGGCGAUUUCUCUCUCUUUGCAAGAUAAAGCAUGGUGAAGACAGUCGUGGCCCUUUUUUUCGCAGAAUAAAUCAGAUGACAGAUUGCCGUCUUGGAGUCGAGAAGGUUAAGAGCUCCUGAGCGUUGUGUUUAUUGCAAGAACAGGAUGUCUGGGCUGAGGAGUAAAUGGUCCCUUUAAACAGAUCACUGGAUUGCAUAUUGUUCUGCUAGACUGGUCCUUCUUUGAUGAGGCCGGCUCAGGACCAGGUCGAGUCCUCCUUUCUGACGGUAUCUAAUGCUAUGUUUAAUCCUGUUCGUUCUAUGAAUCUUGAUCCUGACCGUGUCACUUCAAGAGUCAGUUUGGGCUGUAAGCGUAGUAGCCCGAGUCGGCCUUUCACGGGUGAAAUGGAUCCAUAAGCUCAUAAACGGAAGAGCGCCCUGACCAGCUGGCUACUGGUUUUGGGAGGUUGGUGGUUCAAAUCCACCUGGAUCCCUACUCUCUCUCUUUUCCCUUUACCUUCACCUUGGUUAUUGUCCGUUUGGGCCCAGGUUCGACUUCCUGCGACCGGCUGCUAUUCAAGAAAUUGGGUUAACGCAAAUUACUGAUAGCGAUAAGAUUUCAAGAUUUCCGAUAUGCCUGUAUGUAUAACAAUAUUUCACUUUAUCAUUGUAGGGUAUGAGUUGAAUUUUAUUAUCCAUAGCUAGAGAAUUCACGGGAA